rnacentral:rRNA from 1 species
UACAGAGGGUGCAAGCGUUAAUCGGAAUUACUGGGCGUAAAGCGUGCGUAGAUGGUUAUGUAAGUCAGAUGUGAAAGCCCCCGGGCUUAACCUGGGAAUGGCAUUUGAGACUGCAUAGCUAGGGUGCGGAAGAGGGAAGCGGAAUUUCCGGUGUAGCGGUGAAAUGCGUAGAUAUCGGAAGGAACACCAGUGGCGAAAAGCGGCUUCCUGGUCCAGCACCGACGUUCAGGCACGAAAGCGUGGGGAGCAAACAGG